UUAAAACUCGUGUCGUCCAUGAAUGAGACUCCUAAUGGCGGAUGGAGGAGUAUUUAUUUAACAUACUCCACAUUCCUUUCAUAAACUCCGUACUGAAAAGUUUCGCCUCAACUAUGAGGGAACGGAUGGAGUACUUAUAUUCAUUUCAAACAUAGGGUAGAAAUGAAUCGAUGGCCCAGAUUAAUCGACCCCAAUCUUUAAUCUUGAUAGAACAAGCUGAUGCGCAGCUGAUCCAUCAAUCUCUACAAACUCCAACUUGAUGGCUUAACUGCCAUUCAGACUACCCCUGCAAAGAUUCGCCAAAUUCAUACACAACUCAUGUUUUGGCCUUUGGUAGAGGUUUAGUCAGCAUAUCUGUUGGAUUGUCUGUUGUGUCCACUUUGAAGACUUUUCUCCCUCCUUCCUCUAUCCUCUUCCGAAUGAAGUACAAGCUUACAUCGAUAUGCUUGCUCCUCUCGUGAUAAACUUGGCUAAAGUAGAAUGCGCUGUUGUUAUCACAGCCAAUGCUCAAAGUCGCUUGAGCAAUACCAAAAUCUUCCAACAUUCCUCUAAGCCAGAAACUUUCUUUUACAUAAACAUUUACAAUUGGCAUCAAUCCACAAGUAAAUUAGAAAUAAAAAAAAUAUAUAUAUUAGUCGUCAUGAAAGCAAACUACCUUGAAUGAAAGGCUUUAAACUGUACUGCAUUCUCUUCCAACUCUGUCUUUCACUCUAUACCAAUUAUCCUUUUCUCUUUCUGAAUCAGUUAUAAGCUUAAGCAAUGGAAGGAGAAGCUGUUGCUGCCGUCAUUAAAGUUGUAGUUCAAAACCUCAUCGACCAUUCCAAGACAGAGAUCUCACUAAUCCGUGGUCUCGACAAAGAAGCAGCAAAGCUAGCUGGGAAUUUGGAUACGAUCCAGAAAUUCUUGAACGAUGCUGAGAACCGUACUAUUCCCGGUGGGGCUGUCGAAAGCUGGCUGAGGAAGCUCGAAGAUGUGGCGUUUGAUGGUGACAACGUUUUGGAUGAGCUCAAUUACCAUCUUCUCUCGAAACAAAUUAACUCUAUCAAACCCAUGAAACAAAAGGUACUCUCAUGCUUCUCACCAUUCAGUCAUAUUGCGCAUCCCAGAAAUAUAGCUCUAAAAAUUCAAGAAAUCAAUGAGAAUUUAGAGUCCAUUCAAAAAGAGGGAGCCGGGCUUGGCCUCAAAGAGAGGCUAGCCAACGAUGUGCCAAAACUGCCUCAUGCUGCUUUUGAAACUGAUUCCUUCUCACAUGAUCCAAUUUUCAUAGGAAGAGAUGAGUUGGUGUCGGAAAUAAUUGAGGUUAUUAACACUAGUACCACAACUGAUGAACGUGUAAUUUCUAUCUUUGCCAUUGUUGGAAUGGGAGGAUUGGGGAAGACAACCUUGACUAGGAAUGUCUUUCAUCAUCCAAAGAUAAAAACUCUCUUUGGAUCACAUAUUUGGGUGCAUGUUUCUCAAAUUUUUGAUCCAAUCAUUCUUUUCAAAAAAAUCCUCAAGGAGUUGACUUCUUCUGAUCAUGAUGAAAUCGAGAGUAGCCAAGGUAUUCUCAAAAACACUUCUUCUGAUCAGAGUAGGCAGGAUUUUCUCAAAAAGACUUCUUUUGGUCAAGUUGAUGUUGAGAGUAGUCAAGAUUUUGUGAAAAGGAAUUAUCAUGAUCAAGUUGAGGUCGAGAGUAGGCAAGGUAUUCUGAAAAGGCUUCAAAAAGCUUUAAAAGAUAAAACUUAUAUGCUUAUUCUCGAUGAUGUUUGGAAUCAAGAUCAUCCCAAAUGGGAUGAUUUUAUCAAUUCUUUGGUGGGCAUCACUUCUACCAAGAGGAAUGUGAUUGUUAUUACCACCAGAAACAUGGAAGUCGCUUCAACUAUGAAAUCACUUCAUACACAUGAGCUCAAAGGAUUAUCAAAUGAAGAUUGUUGGUUAAUAAUCCAAGCAAAAACUUUUGGAAAAGAGGAUAUUCCAUUAGAGUUUGAGGCCAUAGGGAGGAAGAUUGCAACAAGAUGUCAAGGUUUGCCAUUAGCUGCUAAUGUAGUUGGUGGAGCACUAUGCAAUAAAUCGGAAGAUGAAUGGCUCUCGAUCGAGGAGAAAUGGCUUUCACAUGAUGAAGGGGAUCGUAUCACAAAGAUAUUGAAGUUGAGCUUUGAUAAUUUGUCUCUACCCUCACUGAAAAAAUGUUUUGCAUGUUAUUCACUUUUUCCUAAAGGUCGCAAAAUCAAAAGUCAAGAACUGAUUGAGUAUUGGAUGGCAGAAGGAUUUCUUGAAGCUAAUGGAAGAAGUGAGAUGGAGUGCUUGGGUGACAAAUUUAUGAAAGUUCUUCUGCACAACUCUCUACUACAAGUUGUAGAAAGAGAUGAUUAUGGAAAUGUAGAGAGUUGUGUGAUGCACGAUCUUGUGCAUGACCUCGCAUGUUCAAUUUCAGGUUCUUCUAAUAAUACAGAAGGCGGGAGCCGAGUGAGAUACAUGAUUCACGAUGAAGAAAGUCAUAUUCCAAAAGAUGUGGCAAAAUAUUUGCGUACGUUACUGUUCGAGGGGUGCAUUUAUGGUAACAUGUUUGCAGAUUUUGAGCAUCUACAUGUUUUAAUUCUAGCUGAUGAUGAAUGUAAAAGGUUGCCAAGUUCGAUAAGGAAGUUGAUACAUUUAAGGAAACUUGAUAUUUCGUCGACGCGUAUAAAAUAUUUGCCGGACUGGAUUGGUGAACUCCAUCAGUUGCAAACAUUAAACGUAUGUACAGGAAGUUUCUUGAGGGAACUGCCUAGUACUUUGAAGUACUUGAUUAAUUUAAGGCAUCUUUAUAUUGAUGAUGAUGUAGAGUUGCCUGCCGAGAUUGGGAGUUUAACUUCUCUCCAGACGCUAAAGUAUUUUAAAGUUGGUGAGAAAGAUGGAUGGAAAAUUGAAGAGCUUGGAAGUUUGAAUGGUCUCAAAGGAACAUUGGAAAUUUCUAACCUUGAAAAGGUUGAAAACAAGGAGGUGGCUGAGAAAGCAAGUCUAUCUCAAAAGUCAAAAUUAUUGGAUUUGUGUUUGAGAUGGGAUCAAGAUAGAGAAGUUGAAACUCCAAAUGAUGAGAAUGUGUUAGAAGGCCUCCAACCUCACCCUAAUAUGAAGAAAUUAGAGAUUGAAGGGUUCAAGGGAAAAAGAUUUCCAUCCUGGACGCGAAAUAUGGUAAUUGAAAAUGUGCCUCAAGGUUGUUGGGUAGCACUUAACAAGUUGAUUGAGAUAAAGCUCUCAAAAUGCUCAGAAUGUGAAGAAAUCCCAAUGUUUGGGCAGUUGCCAAAUCUCAAGUCUCUUUGUUUGCAAGGAUUCAGUAAUUUGAAGUCCAUAAAUUCUUCUUUCUAUGGAUUAGUGAAUGAGGAGACACAUAUUGUUUUUCCAGCUCUAGAAAGGCUCGUGUUGAUUGAAAUUCCUAAGCUUGCGGAUUGGGAAGAAGUAGAAUCUACAGGUGCAAAUGAUGUGAAGGUAUUUCCUAACCUCCAACACUUGGAGAUCACUCAGUGCAAGCAAUUGAUGAGUUUUCCUAAUCAUUCAUGGACAUGCCUCAAAAGUUUGAUAAUCAAGGGGAGUGGGGGCGCUUUAACAUACAUAUUCAAGACGAAAUUAAAGUUGCUGACAGAGCUUUGGAUAGAAGGAAUAGAUGAUCUGGAAUAUCUCCCAAAUUGUUUAUUCUAUAACAAUCCCAAUCUCUUGGAGUUAAGUAUAAGAAUGUGUUCCAGUUUCAGAGAACUACCAGAUGGUCUAGGCACCCUCAAUUCUUUGGAGAAGCUGAUUAUAAGAGACUGUCCAAAUUUGGAACGAUUAGCUGAUCUUGGUGUACAACAAUCACAAGGAAGCCUUGCACGUCUUAAAAGGUUGGAGAUUUGUGAAUGCAAAGCUUUGCUGUACAUACCAUGUGAAAUGGUAGGAUCCUUGCUUGAGGUAUUGGUGUUGAAGAAUUUAAGUAGCCUAAAGAAUCUACCUAGAAUAAUUGAUUGUCUGCCGAAAUUACCUCGUCUAGCAAGUUUAGUAAUUACUGGUGUUUCUCAAUUUAUGGCCACUUUGUCUAGUAAUAUGUUAGAGAUGGAUGUUAGUGUGGAGGGAUCUUUGGAGACCGUUGAAGGCUUAUUGCAAAGAUGCAACUCCCGCUCACUUAGGUAUAUAAAAUUGAAAGGGAGAGAAGCUUGGGGAAAUUUGCCAGAAUCAAUUCAACAUCUCACCUCUAUUAGAUGGUUAACGAUAGAGAAUUAUGGAAUGGAAGAGUUGCCUGAAUGGUUUGGGAACCUCUCAUCUCUAAGCGUAUUGUGGAUAUUUAAUUGCAAGAAGUUAAGGAGUCUACAUGCACUCCGGGGCCUCACAUCACUUUACAUCUUAGAUAUUAGAGGCUGCCCAGAAAUAAUUAUUGAACAACAAAGUGAUGCAGCUGAUUCCCAAUGGCCCAACAUUUCCCAUAUCCCCAGCAUCACGAUUGAUGGACACAGCAUAGUUGAAGGAAGAAGCAAGGGAGAAUUUUGUAUGCAUUUGAUGUUUUCUUCCAUCCUAGUCGUCUCUUAUAUGUUAUGCCAUUGAUGCUUUUGUGGGAAUAGCAAGACUUAUCCAUUGGUGCUGCAUGCUCCGCUCCUAAAAUGCAGUGUUUUUCUUUAAUACUGCGGCAGACCCAAUCACGCUAGGGUUCGAGAAAUUGAAUUCCGGUUUUGAUAAUUUGGACCGGGUGACCGCCGGAAAACCAUAUGGACAGCCAUGAUUCUGAACUUGACGAGGCCGACCAGGAGUGGAGGAUUACCGCCGACACGAUCGUCGAGUACGAGAGGCCUAUGACCGACCCAACCACCACAGAGGCCGAGGGCGUGGCAGGACAGAAAGGGGUGGUCGUGGAGACCGCUUUGGCGAAGUUUUUUAUCCGAACCGUGGGGGACGGAACCGUCAGCGGCGUGGUGAUGCGGAGUUCAAUUCGUUGGGGAGAACGUCUCCAACAGAGGGCCACACACCUUUACACCAUAUUCUUACUCUAUUGAGAUACAGGAGAUUGGAUGGAGUACUAUUUUUAUAUAUUAGGCUAAUCUUCAAGAAGAGACAUCUCCUAACAAUAUUUACCUGUGAACAUCUAGAGCCUCUUUCAUUCUCCUCGACCAACGAAGUGCUAGGUUUCGAGGCAUGGAGCAGAACACACAAGGUAAAUGAAGCUUACCACAUACACAGGCCACACACACGGAGCAAAAUGAGUUCUUUCAAGAUUUGAUCUUCUAUGAAAUAUCCAUUACUUAGGACAUCAUAGUUGUAUUAACAAAUUGUUA